rnacentral:rRNA from 1 species
AAAUUGAAGAGUUUGAUCAUGGCUCAGAUUGAACGCUGGCGGCAGGCCUAACACAUGCAAGUCGAACGGUAACAGGAAUCAGCUUGCUGAUUCGCUGACGAGUGGCGGACGGGUGAGUAAUGUCUGGGAAACUGCCUGAUGGAGGGGGAUAACUACUGGAAACGGUAGCUAAUACCGCAUAACGUCGCAAGACCAAAGAGGGGGACCUUCGGGCCUCUUGCCAUCGGAUGUGCCCAGAUGGGAUUAGCUAGUAGGUGGGG